rnacentral:rRNA from 1 species
AUUGAACGCUGGCGGCAGGCCUAACACAUGCAAGUCGAACGCGUGGCGGACGGGUGAGUAAUGUCUGGGAAUCUGCCUGAUGGAGGGGUAUAACUACUGGAAACGGUAGCUAAUACCGCAUACUAUCGGAUGCGCCCAUAUGGGAUUAGCUAGGAGGUGGGGUAAAGGCUCACCUAGGCGACGAUCCCUAGCUGGUCUGAGAGGAUGACCAGCCACACUGGAACUGAGACACGGUCCAGACUCCUACGGGAGGCAGCAGUGGGGAAUAUUGCACAAUGGGCGCAAGCCUGAUGCAGCCAUGCCGCGUGUAUGAAGAAGGCCUUCGGGUUGUAAAGUACUUUCAGCGGGGAGGCGUUACCCGCAGAAGAAGCACCGGCUAACUCCGUGCCAGCAGCCGCGGUAAUAC